rnacentral:misc_RNA from 1 species
GAUGAAGACGCAGCAAAAUGCGAUAAGUAAUGUGAAUUGCAGAAUUCAGUGAAUCAUCGAAUCUUUGAACGCACAUUGCGCCCGCUGGUAUUCCGGCGGGCAUGCCUGUUCGAGCGUCAUUUCAACCCUCAAGCCCCCGGGUUUGGUGUUGGGGAUCGGCUCUGCCCUUCUGGGCGGUGCCGCCCCCGAAAUACAUUGGCGGUCUCGCUGCAGCCUCCAUUGCGUAGUAGCUAACACCUCGCAACUGGAACGCGGCGCGGCCAUGCCGUAAAACCCCAACUUCUGAAUGUUGACCUCGGAUCAGGUAGGAAUACCCGCUGAACUUAAGCAUAUCAAUAAGCGGAGGA